rnacentral:rRNA from 1 species
GACGGAGGGUGCAAACGUUGCUCGGAAUUACUGGGCGUAAAGAGCUCGUAGGUGGUUCGGUAAGUCGGAUGUGAAAUCUCCAGGCUCAACCUGGAGGGGUCAUUCGAUACUGCCGUGACUAGAGGUCGGUAGGGGAGUGUGGAAUUCCUGGUGGAGCGGUGAAAUGCGCAGAUAUCAGGAGGAACACCCGUAGCGAAGGCGGCACUCUGGGCCGAUACUGACACUGAGGAGCGAAAGCGUGGGGAGCGAACAGG